rnacentral:lncRNA from 1 species
GCAAAAAAUACGCCAAACAACGCCGUUAUUCAAGACAUGCUGCUCCCCAUCAGAUUCCAACACAAACUUAAAACUCAAGACCUGCAUAAUGGACACCAUGUUACGAUCAAGAAGUUGCAUUCUUCACUUAAAUAAGUUACAGAACAGUAAGAACACAAUUAAUCCCCUUAAAACAAGAUUCAAGACAAAAAUAAACCAUGGAAAUCAUACUAUUCACUUUAUAGUCUAGAUACAAAUUGGUCUAAAUCUUUUGCUCUAACAAAGACCACUCAAAGUAUCACUCUAAAACACUCAAACGCGAAUUCUUUUAAGUAUGUCAGAACGCGAAUUUUCUUGACAAUAGAAGAUGAAUAAUUACAUUACAUUACUAUAUAAGUGACAAACACUGCAUAAUAAUAUAAAAUUAGCUUACCAUUAGAUAAUCUCAUCAAUCUGGACGCGGAAAAGAAUGUUGUCCAUUAAACCCAUACCCAUAGGAUUUGCUCCAAUCAUUUCAAACUUGAACAACAUUUGCAAUCUUUUCAUCUGAAAUUAACAAGUUUUUCACUUAAAAAUUAAUUGAAUUGUAAAAAGAAAAAAAACGUGUGUAUAAAUACCUUGUUCUAGAACAAAAGUAAAUGUGAAUGUAGAAUGUUGAAGAGCAUGAGAAA